CAGGCGUCCAAGUUCCAAAUGCAGAAGGGGAAGAAGAGGAUGUAGAAGAGCUCGUUGCCGAGCUCCGUGCCCAGGCUGAAGAGAUAGUAGAGGAAGCGACUACGGGUGGAGAACUCCUGGCUGCCGUCCUCCUCCGUGUAUUGAGAACAUUCACAACACCACCAAGAGCCUCCUUCAUUCAAUCUGCUGAAAAUGCCAAUGAGCCACCUCCCUCAGUCUUCCAUCUUUGGGAUAUUAAGUGCUCCCAGUCCUGGGAAGGUUCUUCAGAAAAGGCCAGGUGUGCUCAACACACAUGAUGAUACUCAGAAUAACUUGCUUGCCUUACUGCUGCACCCUUUUCAGGAUUUCCAGAAGUGCGGCAGCCAGAAUCUCAGUGGACAAUCUCCAUGACUACUUCCUGCAUGUCAAGACAUCCUGCAUGACUGUAGAACCUGCAUGCUGUGCUGCACGUGUGUACAGCCUGUCCUCUGUUCUUCAGAAAACCUCAGCCGCUGGGGCACGUUCAGUCCAGCUGCUUGAUAUAUGUCCCAAAUGGAUUUAGGAGCAUCACCCAUGUGGGAAUCACCAUCAUAAAAAAUCUCACAUGAUGCUAGUAUCCUUGAGUAAGACUGGUUACAGCCAGAGACGCCUCAUCUGGCACCUUUCCAAGCUUUAAUAAAGACUUUUAAAAGACACUGGGAAGUCACUGUGGUUUGCACUCUGGUCACUGUGGUGAUGGUAAAGAGAAAUGUGGAAAUUUCACGAGCAGAUACUCUGAUGAAAUUUCUGCAAUAGCUUUUCCCAGUAUGCCCAGAUUCCCAAAUC